rnacentral:tRNA from 1 species
GGGACAUUAGCUCAGUUGGUUUAGAGUACUUGCUUGACAGGCAAGGGGUCGGCAGUUCGACUCUGCCAUGUCCCAC